rnacentral:rRNA from 1 species
ACACGAGUUGUUGCUGGUCCUCAAGGGCAUGUGCACGCUCUGUUCACACAUCCACUCACACCUGUGCACCCUCUGUAGUUCUAUGGUCUGGGGGACGCAACGUCUUCCUCCUGUAGUUCUACGUCUUUACACAUACACCGUAGUGAAGUCUUAUGGAAUGUGCAUCGCGUUUAACGCAAUACAAUACAACUUUCAGCAACGGAUCUCUUGGCUCUCGCAUCGAUGAAGAACGCAGCGAAAUGCGAUAAGUAAUGUGAAUUGCAGAAUUCAGUGAAUCAUCGAAUCUUUGAACGCACCUUGCGCCCCUUGGCUAUUCCGAGGGGCAUGCCUGUUUGAGUAUCAUGAACACCUCAACUCUCAUGGUUCGCCGUGAUGAGCUUGGACUUUUGGGGGUUUUGCUGGCCUAUGGUCGGCUCCUCUCAAACGAAUCAGCUUGCCAGUGUUUGGUGGCGCCAUGGGUGUGAUAACUAUCUACGCUUGUGUUCGUCUGCCAGGUAACCUUCAGUGAUGGAGGUUUGCUGGAGCUUAUAAACGUCUCUCCUCAGCGAAGACAGCUUUUUGAACGUUCGAUCUCAAAUCAGGUAGGACUACCCGCUGAACUUAAGCAUAUCAA